UUGAUCCUGGCUCAGAUUGAACGCUGGCGGCAGGCCUAACACAUGCAAGUCGAGCGGAUGAGUGGAGCUUGCUCCAUGAUUCAGCGGCGGACGGGUGAGUAAUGCCUAGGAAUCUGCCUGGUAGUGGGGGACAACGUUUCGAAAGGAACGCUAAUACCGCAUACGUCCUACGGGAGAAAGCAGGGGACCUUCGGGCCUUGCGCUAUCAGAUGAGCNUAGGUCGGAUUAGCUAGUUGGUGAGGUAAAGGCUCACCAAGGCGACGAUCCGUAACUGGUCUGAGAGGAUGAUCAGUCACACUGGAACUGAGACACGGUCCAGACUCCUACGGGAGGCAGCAGUGGGGAAUAUUGGACAAUGGGCGAAAGCCUGAUCCAGCCAUGCCGCGUGUGUGAAGAAGGUCUUCGGAUUGUAAAGCACUUUAAGUUGGGAGGAAGGGCAGUAAGUUAAUACCUUGCUGUUUUGACGUUACCGACAG
rnacentral:rRNA from 1 species